GCGGGCAUGGUGGAAUUGGUAGACUCAGGGGAUUUAGGUUCCCCCGCGAGAGCGUGCAGGUUCGAGUCCUGUUGCCCGCACCA
rnacentral:tRNA from 1 species